CUGAGCUGCAACUUACACCUUUGCAAGCGAAUUUUAAUUCUAGGGAACGGUUCCAAAAGUUUAUUUGUUCGUGUUUUAAAUACCACAAGGACGUGUGUACUUAAAUAUACUAAGUGUGUCAAAACUAAAAUGUUUUGGACAGUCAUUCCUGUAGUAUAAAUCGUUCUACAUAAGCCUUCCUUCUACCCUCGUAGUGCUAGUUUGCUUCACGUCGACAGUGUACCGAAAUUUCACCAUGAAAGUCACUGUAACCACGCUCAACGAUGAGAUUUUCGUUCUCGACGUCUCCGAAGACUUGGAGCUGGAGAAUUUCAAGGCGUUCUGUGAAAUAGAGUCGGGUUUCCCGGCCAAAGACAUCACACUGAAUUUCAAUGGAACACCACUGUUGGACGACAAGAAAUCUUUAAAAGCACAUGGUGUCCACGACGGCGAUGUUAUCGUGCUCAUCCACAUGCUGCAAUCCGCCACAAACACCAACAUGAACGACUCAAGCCAAGCUUUGCCAAGCGGCUUAGCAACUUUAGACUUUAGUAACAUCCGAGUGCCACCGGAAGCAGCGAGUACCUCAAUGGCUGCAAGGAAUCCUCCGGUUGAAGAAGACCCUAGGAUCAUCAGGGAAAUGUUUCUUGCAAACCCUGAUCAGCUUGCUCUACUGAAACAAAAUAAUCCACGAUUAGCUGAUGCCCUGCUGAGUGGCAAUCUUGAUACAUUUGCUUCUGUGCUCAGAGAACAAAUAUCUGCUAGGACUGAGCGUCAGCAACAAAGAAUAAGGAUGAUGAAUUCCGAUCCUUUUGACACGGAGGCUCAAAGAAUGAUUGCAGAAGAAAUCAGACAAAAGAACAUAGAGGCAAACAUGGAAGCGGCAAUGGAGUACAAUCCAGAAACUUUUGGAACCGUUGUCAUGUUGUACAUUAACUGUCAUGUGAAUGGAUUUCCUGUAAAAGCAUUCAUUGACUCUGGUGCUCAAACUACUAUAAUGUCUGCGGCUUGUGCUGAGCGGUGUAACAUUAUGCGUCUGGUGGACACUAGAUGGGCAGGCAUAGCCAAAGGUGUGGGUGUACAAAGAAUUAUAGGCCGUAUCCACAUGGUUCAGAUGCGGAUCGAGAAGGAUUUCCUUACCACUUCCUUCUCUGUGCUGGAAGAGCAGCCCAUGGACAUGUUACUUGGACUUGAUAUGCUUAAGAGACAUCAGUGCAACAUUGACCUGAAGAGAAAUGUCCUUCGCAUUGGCACAACUGGUACAGAAACCCCUUUCCUGCCCGAAUCCGAACUGCCAGAGUGUGCCCGUCUGUCUGGCUACUCCGAGGAUGAGAUCGUCAACCAAUCCAUGAAGGAUCACGAGGAGCGCCAGGUCAAAGAGGCGAUGGAAAAGUCCAAACAAGCGGAACCAAACUCGUCCCAGUUUUCGAGACAAUCUUCAGCUGGCCAGUCCACAUCUUCACAGGCGAACCCUAGACUUGGUUUGGGCGACCCCAGCCAAACUAUACUCCCGACUGACAGAUUUGGCGAGAAUGAGGUAGAAGAAAUUGUGAAUCUUGGAUUCACCAGAGAACAGGCCAUCGUCGAGUUGCGUCGAUUCAACGGCGACAAGACGCAAGCCACAGUGGCUCUCUUCGCCAAGUCUCUCAAGUUCUGAUGACGAUGCCUGGCCUGGGAAUCAGCACACCACUAUUCGGUUGAAGUAAUGCUUUGUUUUAACUAUUAUUAUUUAAGUACGCACAUUCGUACUACAUCGACAUAAUUAUACACACUAUAUACAUAUCUUCUUUCUGUACAUUUCUGAUGUUUGAUUUCUGAUUACUUAGUCUACGUAGAUCGCUGACGCACGCAGUGUCUGCAAUGAGGGUUUUCGCGUAUGAAAAAUGCGCCAGAUGGCAAUACGUAGACGCGAGGUCCAAAUGCUGCAUGAUUGGUUAUUUUUGACAUGACAUUGACAGAUAUGUCAAAAUCCACCAAUCACGCAGCAGUCAGACCCCACAUCCACGUCCCGCCAUCUAGUGGAUCUUUCAUACGCGAAAACCCUCAUUCUUCAAACAAAAUUGAGGGACUAUUCUUGUCAAUCAACUGACUUACUUUUAGACCCUGACAAUAACGGAUUUAAAUCUCGUCUCAUAUGAUCAAUUUUAAGUUUUAAUAACUUUUUAUAGCUUGACAUAGUCAAGUCACCGGUUGCGUUCUAUUUAUUUUAGGGAUCGGUGAUGAAUCAUAAAACUGAUAUAUUUGAUUCAGGUCAUUAAAUAAUACAAACUUACCUUCUACGGUAUAUUAUGACAGCAAGCUAAGUUUUCUUAGUUUGUCUUUACCCCACGCUAAUCUGUCAAGCUGUUCAGAUUAGCAUUUUUAUGAUAUAGUUCCAAAAUACUGAACUGUCCUACGCAUGACAUUGACAGUGGGGCGCCACCGUCAAUACCGGAUCGCUGGUUCCGAUUUUUGCCAUGUUGGAAACCAUAUAGUUGAACGAUGGUAGCGCCCCCUGUCAUUGAGUUUGGUGGGACAGUUCAGCGUGGGUCAUCUAUACAUUAUUUUAUAUCAACUCUCGUUCCGUUUAUUACGUUAGUGACGCCGCGCUGCGACUGCGCUUCCAGAAAUUAUAAUUAUGUAAAGUAGUGCGGCGAGCGCGCCGCAGUGGUAUACUGCCGCGCUAAUUUGAAGGCGCUUUUAGCGUUUGAAUAAAUUCCGAAUCAAUUCGUGUUCAUUAUUGAAUUGAAAGUCACGAAGAAAUGAUUAGCUAAGCCUAGGCGAAGACCACCGACUUUUAGUUGGGCGAUAGUUGGGUCGGGCUGUUAAUCAGUAUGGAGAUGUAUGAAAGUGCGCGCAUUACACCAAUUUGAUAUCGGCCGAUUCAUCAUACAAAUUAGAAUCGGGCCCAACAAUUGGCCGAUUAAAAGUCGGUGAACUGCGCCUAGGCUAAACGUUUUUUGUCAAUCACUAAGUAUGUCAGUUGGUCAUGGUACUUUUGUACCUUGGAGUAAGAUGAAAGAUAACUUCAUCAUUGUCACUUAACAAUGAACAAGUUACUUUGAUCGAAUAGUUUGUGAUAAAUGUAAGUUAAGUUUUGGGACCUACAGGUGUAGGACGACUACGCCGAAUUUUAUGCGGCAUUUAGUAAUAGGUAGUAAUCGUAAAUUUUCUAAAGACUAAUUGAUCGGUUAAUGAUAAUAUGUAAAACCACACCUAAAAAAACACCGUUAAUUACAUUAUCAAAAAAUAUUGGACAUGUUUAUUUUAGUUUCUUUGAAGUUAUGAUGCGUAGAAGUUCCCCGUUACGUCACAAAGUGCUACACUGUUAAAAGCACGCCUUGACGUCAAGGGGUUCUUUUGACCUGGCGCGCUAUAUCUUUUUCAACUUUCAUUAGUUUGGUGAAAAAUACGUGUUGAGUAUUUUUUUCUAUGUUAUACGACGGACUAAUUCAAACUUGCUUUUUUACGCAGGAAACAUCCCCUAUUACUGAAGGGCUUCUCCCUAACGUUGUCUCCGUACAAACGUUAAUGUCGUUUGGCUUAUGCCCGUUUUCACCAUCAAUCCCUAAUUUUUAAGUGACCCUUAUGGUGAAAAAUAACAGGAAUUUUAUUGUCAUAGGGGUCACUUAAAAAUAAGGAAUUGAUGGUGAAAACGGGCAUUAGUCUCUUUUUCGUUUAUAACGUCCAAAAAUGCAGUUAAUUUAGCUCAGAGGUUUCUUAUUUUAAUGAAGAUAUUAACAAUAUCUUAUUAACAACUAUAGUGGCAGACAUAAUUAUAUUAAAAAACGGAAACGGUGUUAGUGAGUAGUCUACUGGUUUUACACAUUAUUUGACUAACUGUUGACAUUUACCCCCGCAUUCUAAGAUUUUGCUAACUUCAAGAGAGGAUGGGUCAAAGAUAAAGUUACACAUUCUGGUAAUGACAUGAACUUUGAUAUUCCAUCCCACUGAGUUGAAAAAAAAAUCUUCGAAUACGGGUAUAGAUAGUACGAAGUCUGAAGCAAUCUAACACAUAUUUAAAUUGGUACGUGUACAGCAUACGAUGUAAUAAGCAAUAAUUAUUAAUUUUCAUGUCACUAGGACUGAUAAUAUUAUAAGAUAAAAAUACAUAAAAAACACAACUUGUGAAGUAAAAAAAAACAAAAGAGUUUAGGCUGCUCUUCAGUCAAAACUUAACCUGAUCAUAAUAGGGGUUAGACAUUAGAUUAAUUUAUCAUAUCAUUUGCUUCGCUAGAUUUAAAUAAAUUUCAAUCUACCUAACAUUAUUUAAUCGCAAUAAUAAUUAAGUAAUAAGAGUUGCAUUAAUUCGACAAAACGCGACAAUAAAUAUGUGAAAAUUACAUCGCUUGCUGUUUUCGUUCCAAUAUUCAAAUUAAUUUUAUAUUCUUCAUAAUGAAUUACCUAUAUUAUUAUAUUUUUAUACCAAAUAGUUCUAAAAGAGUGUGAAAUCGCAUGUCUAGCCUUUCGUACAUACAUAACCUAUGCUCUAUAUAAUAGUAACAAUAAUAAUAGUGUUUAGUUAUGAGUUGAGCCCAUUUGGAGCUUCAUGAGUUCAUGAACAGUUCUUCCACCACACCCAUGUUUUCAUAUAAAAUAUUUUAGAGAAACAUAUUUAGUGUUCAUUGAGUGUCAAUAUUGAAAAACGUGGGAAACUUCAUAAUUUCAUCAGAAAAAAGUUAAAACCGAAGCUAUCUACGCAAGGUAAGGAUUUAAUGAUGUUGCUAUAAAAAGUAUUUAAUUAUUAUUUUCAUAAUAAUUAAUAUUAAAGGCGACAAGACCGAAGACGAAAACCGUCAUCAGCAGUCCCAAAACUGGCAGCAGAUGAAGUUAAAGUCAAAGUAAGAUGGCAAUGCAUGAAAACCGAAAAAUUGAAAAUACGAUAUGCAUUGAAAAGUACCACAUUUGAGCGCAUUGUCCUCCUUGCUUAAGGACAAUGUUUUUUAAAUACUUAAUAUUUUUUAAUUGGAUUGCUUAAUUCUCUUUACAUGCCUCCUGAAAUUUAUUUAACAAUAUUUUUCUCAUGUUAUAGUUGCACUUGGGUCUAAAUGGGUUAAUAAUUGUAUCGCUCAGUCUGAUAUAUUAUAAUCGUAAAUCGUAUUUACUAAUAACAUAGUGUACCGAAACUUAUGAUACAUGUUCACAAUGUGGAUUGGUGUACAUCACACUGCCGGUAUUCUGACUUAUGAACGAACAUACUAUGUUUGUACAGGGAUGAUGACACCAUCGUAUUUGAUCUAAUACAUCUGUUUUACACACAUAUAAAAUACUUGACUAUAAUGAUUAUUAAAUUAUCCUAUGCGUUACACAGUUGGAUACGUUACUACCGUUGAUCGGUAGUGUCAUCAUAUAUCUGUAAAACGAUGCUAUAUAAAUAUAAGUAUUUUAUAUCAAGUCUAUAAUAUUUUCUUUUGACUAUUUUUCUGUGUAAAAGCCUAGUCGGAAAAUAGACCAGUUUUAAAGAUUUUUUUUGAAUAUUAAUUGUAUUCAAAUUCAGAAAUAAUUUUUGCAUGGGCAAUGGAAUGUACGAUCAAAUUAUUAUUGUAUUUUUAACCAAAAGUUUUAAUAAUUAUUUUUGUAAAUAAUAAAUAGAAUACUUGUAGCUUUGGUUGUAAUCGAUUGACAACGUAAUAAAAAUCGUCUAUCAAAAUUAGUACAAAAAAAGAGCAAUUUAAUAGUACGCUUUUAAAGUGUAAUAAUUAUAAUUCCUCAAAAUGCUAUGUUUGGGAAUAUACAGGUUGUUGCAAAAUUAGCUCGUGACACUGACACCAGAAAUGAUCUUAAGACGCAUCGAACAAGUCUAUUGAGUAAAUUUUUAAAUAACUAAUAUCGGUUUAUGUUUUUAAACUUAUACAACUUCCAAAUUGGACAUAUUAAGCUUGUUGUGUCGGCCCAGCUACCUCCAGUGUCAGUGUGACGUGCUAAUUUUGGGACCCUGUAUUAAUAUAUUUUACUACAUUAUCUUCCUUCGAUGAUACAUUCAGCCUUGUAUAAUAAUAGUAUCGAAUUAUAAAGAUUUUCAUUAUUUUGCAGCUU